rnacentral:rRNA from 1 species
UGGAAGUCACUUGUAGCCGAAGUGCGUGCGCCAACCCAGCAAUGGGAAGCAGCGCCCGACGCUAUGAGCGGUAACUGGGAUG